CCUACGGGAGGCAGCAGUGGGGAAUAUUGGGCAAUGGAGGAAACUCUGACCCAGCGACGCCGCGUGCGGGAUGAAGGCCUUCGGGUUGUAAACCGCUUUCAGCAGGGAAGAAGCGAAAGUGACGGUACCUGCAGAAGAAGCACCGGCUAACUAUGUGCCAGCAGCCGCGGUAAUACAUAGGGUGCAAGCGUUGUCCGGAAUUAUUGGGCGUAAAGAGCUCGUAGGUGGUUCGUCACGUCGGAUGUGAAACUCUGGGGCUUAACCCCAGACCUGCAUUCGAUACGGGCGAGCUUGAGUAUGGUAGGGGAGUCUGGAAUUCCUGGUGUAGCGGUGGAAUGCGCAGAUAUCAGGAGGAACACCAAUGGCGAAGGCAGGACUCUGGGCCAUUACUGACACUGAGGAGCGAAAGCGUGGGGAGCGAACAGGAUUAGAUACCCUGGUAGUCCACGCCGUAAACGGUGGGCACUAGUUGUGGGGACCUUCCACGGUCUCUGCGACGCAGCUAACGCAUUAAGUGCCCCGCCUGGGGAGUACGAUCGCAAGAUUAAAACUCAAAGGAAUUGACGG
rnacentral:rRNA from 1 species